rnacentral:rRNA from 1 species
AUUGAACGCUGGCGGCAUGCCUUACACAUGCAAGUCGAACGGUAACAGGUCUUCGGAUGCUGACGAGUGGCGAACGGGUGAGUAAUACAUCGGAACGUGCCCGAUCGUGGGGGAUAACGAAGCGAAAGCUUUGCUAAUACCGCAUAAGAUCUAAGGAUGAAAGCAGGGGACCGCAAGGCCUUGCGCGAACGGAGCGGCCGAUGGCAGAUUAGGUAGUUGGUGGGAUAAAAGCUUACCAAGCCGACGAUCUGUAGCUGGUCUGAGAGGACUACCAGCCACACUGGGACUGAGACACGGCCCAGAAUCCUACGGGAGGCAGCAGUGGGGAAUUUUGGACAAUGGGCGAAAGCCUGAUCCAGCCAUGCCGCGUGCAGGAUGAAGGCCUUCGGGUUGUAAACUGCUUUUGUACGGAACGAAAAGACUCUUUCUAAUAAAGAGGGUCCAUGACGGUACCGUAAGAAUAAGCACCGGCUAACUACGUGCCAGCCGCCGCCGUAA